rnacentral:rRNA from 1 species
GCAAGUCGAACGAGAGAAGAGAAGCUUGCUUUUCUGAUCUAGUGGCGGACGGGUGAGUAACACGUGAGCAAUCUGCCUUUCAGAGGGGGAUACCGAUUGGAAACGAUCGUUAAUACCGCAUAAUAUAAUUGAACCGCAUGAUUUGAUUAUCAAAGAUUUAUCGCUGAAAGAUGAGCUCGCGUCUGAUUAGCUAGUUGGUAAGGUAACGGCUUACCAAGGCGACGAUCAGUAGCCGGACUGAGAGGUUGAUCGGCCACAUUGGGACUGAGACACGGCCCAGACUCCUACGGGAGGCAGCAGUGGGGAAUAUUGCACAAUGGAGGAAACUCUGAUGCAGCGAUGCCGCGUGAGGGAAGAAGGUUUUAGGAUUGUAAACCUCUGUCUUCAGGGACGAAAAAUGACGGUACCUGAGGAGGAAGCUCCGGCUAACUACAUGCCAGCAGCCGCGGUAAUACGUAGGGAGCGAGCGUUGUCCGGAAUUACUGGGUGUAAAGGGAGCGUAGGCGGGAUCGCAAGUCAGAUGUGAAAACUAUGGGCUUAACCCAUAAACUGCAUUUGAAACUGUGGUUCUUGAGUGAAGUAGAGGUAAGCGGAAUUCCUAGUGUAGCGGUGAAAUGCGUAGAUAUUAGGAGGAACAUCAGUGGCGAAGGCGGCUUACUGGGCUUUAACUGACGCUGAGGCUCGAAAGCGUGGGGAGCAAACAGGAUUAGAUGCCCUGGUAGUCCACGCCGUAAACGAUGAUUACUAGGUGUGGGGGGACUGACCCCUUCCGUGCCGCAGCAAGCGCAAUAAGUAAUCCACCUGGGGAGUACGACCGCAAGGUUGAAACUCAAAGGAAUUGACGGGGGCCCGCACAAGCAGUGGAGUAUGUGGAUUAAUUCGAAGCAACGCGAAGAACC